CAUAGCGAGGAAAAGAAACUAACAAGGAUUCCCCUAGUAACGGCGAGUGAAGAGGGAAAAGCUCAAAUUUUGAAUCUGGUGUCUUUGACUCCCGAGUUGUAAUCUAGAGAAGUGUUUUCCGUGUCGGACCGUGCACAAGUUCCCUGGAACGGGGCGUCAUAGAGGGUGAGAAUCCCGUAUAUGGCAUGGACURCCGAUGCUUUUGUGAUACACUCUCAACGAGUCGAGUUGUUUGGGAAUGCAGCUCAAAAUGGGUGGUAAAUUCCAUCUAAAGCUAAAUAUUGGCGAGAGACCGAUAGCGAACAAGUACCGUGAGGGAAAGAUGAAAAGCACUUUGGAAAGAGAGUGAAACAGUACGUGAAAUUGUUGAAAGGGAAGCGUUUGAAGUCAGUCGUAUCUGGUGGGAUUCAGCCGGGCUUUUGCCAGGUGUACUUCUCGUCCGAUGGGUCAGCAUCAAUUUCGACCGGGGGAAAAAGACGUGUGGAAUGUGGCUGUCUUCGGGCAGUGUUAUAGCCAUGCGUUGUAUGCCUCGGUUGGGAUUGAGGAACGCAGCGCGCCUAUAGGCCAGGGGUUCGCCUCUUGACACGCGCUUAGGAUGCUGGCAUAAUGGCUUUAAGCGACCCGUCUUGAAACACGG
rnacentral:rRNA from 1 species